UUUAGAGACAUCAUCCGAGACUGAUCCAAGAAGACCAUGUCAAACUAAGGAUGCGAGAUGAGAGCCACACAAGUGACCCCAGGCGACGAUGGCACUUCUAAGCAUAACUGGUAGACAAGGUAACAGAGGUGGAGAGACUAGCGGCUGUAGCAGCAGAGUCACUUGAUCCAGCAUCCUACGUGCCUGUGCGCUCUCCGUUACCCGCCGAUCCGGCUUGGUGUGCUUCUCCUGUUUGCGGGUUGUGUGCCACGCACUUGAUUAAGCACCCCACGUUCUCCUACAGUGCGCCCUUGACCCUGGCUUUAGGUAGCGCCAUGUCCUCGGCUUGCCGUGCAUAAUCCAGGUAUGCGCCAACUGUCCGAGCUCCUGCUCACCAUCGGUGUUGCUCGAGCGUGGGUUCUGGUGUCGCCCAUAAAGGGAACACGGGAUGUGGGAUUGAGACAGUUCACAUAGCAACCCACAGCAAGGCAAAGGAUGCCCAUCCAACUGGCAGGGAGCGGAGGUGGACCCAAAAAGGUGGAUGUUGACUCGAAGGAGUCUCAACAGUACGCUUGUCAGUAAGAGGAGCAAGAAGAUCCUGGAUAUACUUCUCUUAGCAAAUAAAGAAGCCAUCAAAGGUAGACUCAGGGAAGUAGCGAUGAGGACCAAGGUCAGACAUAAGAAACUCACUGUGACGAGCCUUCACAAAGGCAAUGUACUUAAGAGUCGUGCAGGAUCAUGAGCACCCGUUGAAAAACGAGCCUUAUUAACCACAGAGACAAUGCUCAAACCAGUCAUGAGGGGUUUGCGAAAGAGCAUAUAGAGAACGCCGAAGGCGACAAACCAUGCCGGCUGGAAAAGAAUACCCAAGUGGUGGCUACAUGUAGGCAUUGUUGACAUCAAGCUGAGAGAGAGAGAGAUAGAUAGAUAGAUAGAGAGAGAGAGAGCCUAUGUUGGCAAACAGAAGCACAUCGAAAAGUGUUCCAAAAGUGGUCAUCUGGGCCAUACAGGAGCAAAUGUCUCAUCGUAGUCAUGACUAUGUUCUCACCACUAGACGUGGUUUGUAGAGCUCUAGAGUAACAUCAUAGUCUCACCCUUGUGGGCCUAGUUACAAGUAAUGAGACGAGCAAGAGGAGGAAGGGAAAUGAGAUUCCACUAGCCGACGAGGUGAAGAGCAUUUGAUGCCAUCACAUGCUGCCAUUGUGGAUGAAAAAAAUGUCAUGAUAAGAAGUCUUCUUGUGAAGAGCACCGCAAUAACUAACCAUAGCAGUCAAUAGGCAGAAGCCGGCGAGCUCGAAAGCCAUAAGUAGGCUGAUCUGGAGCUAUGUGUUGCCAACAGAAGAAGACAUAGUAGUUGAGGGAGAUGACUCAUUAUAAGAAUCCACAACACGCGAACAAUGAGUGUAGUAAAGUCAAGGAAGAUGAGCAAAAGAAGGAACAUGCAAGACAAACUGCCAAGAGUGCCUCGACUAUCGACUGGCAGGGAAGUUACAUUGACAGUAAAAACAUGAACAUGAGAAUCUAGAUGUGGAAUACCCAAGUGGUGGCUGCACGUAAAACCCCUGACAAAAUUCACCAUUAAAAAAGUCUUUGUUAACAUCAAGCCGAGACGGAGUGACGAAUAAAGGCCGCAACAAGAUGUGUGUGAACAAUUGUCGUAUGGCCCGCAUGAGCUGAAACUCUCAUCGUAAUUAGGACCAUGAUUCUACUAAAAGCCACGAGCCACAAGACGAGCUUUGUAAUGUUCAAGAGAACCAUCAGAGCGAGUCUUAACCUUGUUGACGCACCAAGUAAUGGGACGAACACGAGGAGGAAGGGACACAAUAUCCGAUGUGCUGAUGUGCUCAACAGUAGCAAUAUCCUCUACCAUGGCAAGGCGCCAUUUGGUAUGAAAAACAUCAAGAUAAGAAGUCUGCUCAAGAAAGUGGCGCCAACGUUUCAUAGCCUAAGGCGGUCCACAUGCAAAAGUGGACGAGGUCGCAAGCCAUAAGAAGGCCGAGACGGAGAAGAUGGCACAUCAGUAGAUGCAUCCAGAACACAUGAACGACGUGUUUAAAAGUGAGGCAAAUGUGGAAGAAUACGAGCAAUAAUCCCCGAGAUAAGCUCAGGUUAUGGAGACAAGGAAGUCACCGAUGAUGAAGGUUUAAAAUCCCGUGAUAAGCGAAGUGAGGAAAUCAUAGGAGAUGAUGGUGUUGAAUCUGUAAUAAUUGGAGAAGCAGGAGCAGUACGAGGAAUGGAAUAGGGCUCAACUAUAGUGAUAAGAAUGUCGGGAAAAGUGAGGUAACACAUCCUCCACUAAAAAGGUCGGGGAUGAUGGUCACACGUAGCAGGGACGAGACUCAUUAAAAGUCAUACUGUGAGAAAUAGCACCCGAUGACCAACCUGAUCCCAACAACAAUAUCUCUUAUGGUCAUUGUUGUAUCCUAUGAACACUCAACAUACUAAGUAGUAAGUUUGGAACAUUGACGAGAGGCAGUAAGGGCACAUCAAACACAACCAAACAAUUGAAGCGCUGAAUAAUCUGGAAACGAUCAAAUAGACUCUUGAAAGGAGAUGACCAUGGUGGAAGUGGAGACGCAUUCAACCCAAAGGUGUGGCGUAAGAGAGGCAGUGACCAUCCAAAAGUGUGGCGGAAGAGAGAACAGUGAAAUUGAACCUAUGAGCCGUCUCAAUAGUUGACGAUGCUUGCCCUCAGCCAUGCCAUUUCUGAGCAUGAGCACCAAGAUAAGAGAACUGAGCAAGAGCACCCUGCUCAACAAGGAUUGAGCGCAACAUCUUGGAGAUUUAGUGUCCACCGAGUCAUCACAGAAUACAAGAAUAGGCGGUGAGAGAUACUAUGUUGGCAAACAGAAGCCACAUCGAAAAGUGUGCCAAAAGUGGUCAUCUGGGCCUUACAGGAGCAAAUGUCUCAUCGUAGUCAUGACUAUAUGUUCUCACCACUAGAUGAGCUUUGUAAAGCUCUAGAGAAACAUCAUAGCCUCACCCUUUGAUGUCAUCACAUGCUGCCAUUAUGGAUGAAAAACCGUCAUGAUAAGAAGUCGUCUUGCGAAGAGCACCACAAUAACUAACCAUAGCAGGCGAGCUCGAAAGCCAUAAGUAGGCUGAUCUGGAGCUAUGUGUUGCCAACAGAAGAAUACAUAGUAAUCGAGGGAGUUGACUCAUUAGAAGAAUCCACAAGACGCGAACAGUGAGUGUAGUAAAGUCAAGGAAGACGAGCAAAAGAAGGAACAUGAAAAGAGAAACUGCCAAGAGCGCCUCGACUAUCGACAGGUAGGGAAGUUACCAGGAUAAGAGAACUGAGCAAGAGCACCGUGCUCAACAAGGAUUGAAUGCAACAUCUUGGAGAUUUAUUCUCCACCAGAGUCAUCACGGAAUACAAGAAUAGGCGUAGGGAACUUGUUGUGUGCCAUGGCGUCAAAACGCUUACACAUAUAAGACCUCACUACGAAAGGAAAUAAAGUAUAUCCAGGUGUGUUGAGAGAAGUCAUCUAUAAAUAUAGUACUAGCGAUGACCUCCUUUCGAGGCGAAAGGAGGUGGGCCCCAGACAUCAGAGUGAACAAGGUUGAAAGGGUUGUUGAGACACUGUCUCGCUAUGAGCAUAAGGUAAGUAUAGCUGUUUACCAAGCCGACAACCCAGACAGUUUAGAGACAUCAUCCGAGACUGAUCCAAGAAGACCAUGUCAAACUAAGGAUGCGAGAUGAGAGCCACACAAGUGACCCCAGGCGACGAUGGCACUUCUAAGCAUAACUGGUAGACAAGGUAACAGAGGUGGAGAGACUAGCGACUGUAGCAGCAGAGUCACUUGAUCCAGCAUCCUACGUGCCUGUGCGCUCUCCGUUACCCGCCGAUCCGGCUUGGUGUGCUUCUCCUGUUUGUGGGUUGUGUGCCACGCACUUGAUUAAGCACCCCACGUUCUCCUACAGUGCGCCCUUGACCCUGGCUUUAGGUAGCGCCGUGUCCUCGGCUUGCCGUGCAUAAUCCAGGUAUGCGCCAACUGUCCGAGCUCCUGCUCACCAUUGGUGUUGCUCGAGCGUGGGUUCUGGUGUCGCCCAUAAAGGGAACACGGGAUGUGGGAUUGAGACAGUUCACAUAGCAACCCACAACAAGGCAAAGGAUGCCCAUCCAACUGGCAGGGAGCGGAGGUGGACCCAAAAAGGUGGAUGUUGACUCCAAGGAGUCUCAACAGGACGCUUGUCAGUAAGAGGAGCAAGAAGAUCCUGGAUAUACUUCUCUUAGCAAAUAAAGAAGCCAUCAAAGGUAGACUCAGGGAAGUAGCGAUGAGGACCAAGGUCAGACAUAAGAAACUCACUGUGACGAGCCUUCACAAAGGCAAUGUACUUAAGAGUCGUGUAGGAUCAUGAGCACCCGUUGAAAAACGAGCCUUAUUAACCACAGAGACAACGCUCAAACCAGUCAUGAGGGGUUUGCUAAAGAGCAUAUAGAUAAUGCCGAAGGCGACAAACCAUGCCGGCUGGAAAAGAAUACCCAAGUGGUGGCUACAUGUAGGAUUGUUGACAUCAAGCUGAGAGAGAGAGAGAGAGAGAGAGAGAGAGAGAGAGAGAGAGAGAGAGAGAGAGAGAGAGAGAGAGAGAGAGAGAGAGAGAGAGAGAGAGAGAGAGAGAGAGNNNNNNNNNNNNNNNNNNNNNNNNNNNNNNNNNNNNNNNNNNNNNNNNNNNNNNNNNNNNNNNNNNNNNNNNNNNNNNNNNNNNNNNNNNNNNNNNNNNNGAGAGAGAGAGAGAUAGAUAGAUAGAUAGAGAGCCUAUGUUGGCAAACAGAAGCACAUCGAAAAGUGUGCCAAAAGUGGUCAUCUGGGCCAUACAGGAGCAAAUGUCUCAUCCUAGUCAUGACUAUAUGUUCUCACCAGUAGACGAGCUUUGUAAAGCUCUAGAGAAACAUCAUAGUCUCACCCUUGUGGGCCUAGUUACAAGUAAUGAGACGAGCAAGAGGAGGAAGGGAAAUGAGAUUCCACUAGCCGACGAGGUGAAGAGCAUUUGAUGCCAUCACAUGCUGCCAUUGUGGAUGAAAAAAAUGUCAUGAUAAGAAGUCUUCUUGUGAAGAGCACCGCAAUAACUAACCAUAGCAGUCAAUAGGCAGAAGCGGACGAGCUCGAAAGCCAUAAGUAGGCUGAUCUGGAGCUAUGUGUUGCCAACAGAAGAAGACAUAGUAGUUGAGGGAGAUGACUCAUUAUAAGAAUCCACAACACGCGAACAAUGAGUGUAGUAAAGUCAAGGAAGAUGAGCAAAAGAAGGAACAUGCAAGACAAACUGCCAAGAGUGCCUCGACUAUCGACUGGCAGGGAAGUUACAUUGACAGUAAAAACAUGAACAUGAGAAUCUAGAUGUGGAAUACCCAAGUGGUGGCUGCACGUAAAACCCCUGACAAAAUUCACCAUUAAAAAGUCUUUCUUAACAUCAAGCCGAGACGGAGUGACGAAUAAAGGCCGCAACAAGAUGUGUGUGAACAAUUGUCGUAUGGCCCGCAUGAGCUGAAACUCUCAUCGUAAUUAGGACCAUGAUUCUACUGAAAGCCACGAGCCACAAGACGAGCUUUGUAAUGUUCAAGAGAACCAUCAGAGCGAGUCUUAACCUUGUAGACGCACCAAGUAAUGGGACGAACACGAGGAGGAAGGGACACAAUAUCCUCUACCAUGGCAAGGCGCCAUUUGGUAUGAAUAACAUCAAGAUAAGAAGUCUGCUCAAGAAAGUGGCGCCAACGUUUCAUAGCCUAAGGCGGUCCACAUGCAAAAGUGGAAGAGGUCGCAAGCCAUAAGAAGGCCGAGACGGAGAAGAUGGCACAUCAGUAGAUGCAUCCACAACACACGAACGACGUGUAUAAAAGUGAGGCAAAUGUGGAAGAAUACGAGCAAUAAUCCCCGAGAUAAGCUCAGGUUAUGGAGACAAGGAAGUCACCGGUGAUGAAGGUUUAGAAUCCCGUGAUAAGCGAAGUGAGGAAAUCAUAGGAGAUGAUGGUGCUGAAUCUGUAAUAAUUGGAGAAGCAGGAGCAGUACGAGGAAUGGAAUAGGGCUCAACGAUAGUGAUAAGAAUGUCGGGAAAAGUGAGGUAACACAUCCUCCACUAAAAAGGUCGGGGAUGAUGGUCACACGUAGCAGGGACGAGACUCACUAAAAGUCAUACCGUGAGAAAUAGUCACCCGAUGACCAACCUGAUCCCAACAACAAUAUCUCUUAUGCUCAUUGUUGUAUCCUAUGAACACUCAACAUACUAAGUAGUAAGUUUGGUACAUUGACGAGAGGCAGUAAGGGCACAUCAAACACAACCAAACAAUUGAAGCGCUGAAUAAUCUGGAAACGAUCAAAUAGACUCUCGAAAGGAGAUGACCAUGGUGGAAGUGGAGACGCAUUCAACCCAAAAGUGUGGCGUAAGAGAGGCAGUGACCAUCCAAAAGUGUGGCGGAAGAGAGAGCAGUGACGCUGAACCUAUGAGCCGUCUCAAUAGUUGACGAUGCUUGCCCUCAGCCAUGCCAUUUUUGAGCAUGAGCACCACGAUAAGAGAACUGAGCAAGAGCACCCUGCUCAACAAGGAUUGAGCGCACCAUCUUGGAGAUUUAGUCUCCGCCGAGUCAUCACAGAAUACAAGAAUAGGCGUAGAGAGAUACUAUGUUAGCAAACAGAAGCCACAUCGAAAAGUGUGCCAAAAGUGGUCAUCUGGGCCAUACAGGAGCAAAUGUCUCAUCGUAGUCAUGACUAUAUGUUCUCACCACUAGAUGAGCUUUGUAAAGCUCUAGAGAAACAUCAUAGCCUCACCCUUUGAUGUCAUCACAUGCUGCCAUUAUGGAUGAAAAAACGUCAUGAUAAGAAGUCGUCUUGCGAAGAGCACCACAAUAACUAACCAUAGCAGGCGAGCUCGAAAGCCAUAAGUAGGCUGAUCUGGAGCUAUGUGUUGCCAACAGAAGAAUACAUAGUAAUCGAGGGAGUUGACUCAUUAGAAGAAUCCACAACACGCGAACAGUGAGUGUAGUAAAGUCAAGGAAGACGAGCAAAAGAAGGAACAUGAAAAGAGAAACUGCCAAGAGCGCCUCGACUAUCGACAGGUAGGGAAGUUACCAGGAUAAGAGAACUGAGCAAGAGCACCGUGCUCAACAAGGAUUGAAUGCAACAUCUUGGAGAUUUAUUCUCCACCAGAGUCAUCACGGAAUACAAGAAUAGGCGUAGGGAACUUGUUGUGUGCCAUGGCGUCAAAACGCUUACACAUAUAAGACCUCACUACGAAAGGAAAUAAAGUAUAUCCAGGUGUGUUGAGAGAAGUCAUCUAUAAAUAUAGUACUAGCGAUGACCUCCUUUCGAGGCGAAAGGAGGUGGGCCCCAGACAUUAGAGUGAACAAGGUUGAAAGGGUUGUUGAGACACUGUCUCGCUAUGAGCAUAAGGUAAGUAUAGCUGUUUACCAAGCCGAC
rnacentral:lncRNA from 1 species